UACGGGGGGGGCAAGCGUUGUUCGGAAUUACUGGGCGUAAAGGGCGCGUAGGCGGUCGUGACAAGUCACUUGUGAAAUCUCCGGGCUUAACUCGGAACGGUCAAGUGAUACUGUCGGACUAGAGUACAGAAGGGGCAACUGGAAUUCUCGGUGUAGCGGUGAAAUGCGUAGAUAUCGAGAGGAACACCUGCGGCGAAGGCGGGUUGCUGGGCUGACACUGACGCUGAUGCGCGAAAGCCAGGGGAGCGAACGGG
rnacentral:rRNA from 1 species